UACGUAGGGGGCAAGCGUUGUCCGGAAUCAUUGGGCGUAAAGAGCGUGUAGGCGGCCCGAUAAGUCCGCUGUGAAAGUCCAGGGCUCAACCCUGGGAUGCCGGUGGAUACUGUCGGGCUCGAGUCCGGAAGAGGAGUGUGGAAUUCCUGGUGUAGCGGUGAAAUGCGCAGAUAUCAGGAGGAACACCGGUGGCGAAGGCGCUGCUCUGGGCCGGUACUGACGCUGAGGAGCGAAAGCGUGGGUAGCAAACAGG
rnacentral:rRNA from 1 species